rnacentral:misc_RNA from 1 species
AACGCACAUUGCGCCUCUCUUUACAGGGAGGCAUGCCUGUCUGAGCGUCAUUUAAACCAAAUGGACAUUCAUUUGUUCGUAUUGAGUUUCGCCUUUGGGCGUUACUUUAAAGUAAUAGGUCUAGAUUAGCGGACGAGAUCCUUAAAGGACUAACCGAAAAUCAGACCAGAUAAUUCUGAUUUUGACCUCAGAUCAGGUAGGGACACCGCCUGAACUUAA